AAUGGUCGAGAGACUGAACCAGCCAAGUCGCGUGAAGGAUGACGGUUCUAUGAAUUGUAAACUUCUUUUAUUCGGGAAUAAAGUGUAGUACGUGUACUGUUUUGUAUGUACCGAAUGAAUAAGCAUCGGCUAACUCCGUGCCAGCAGCCGCGGUAAUACGGAGGAUGCAAGCGUUAUCCGGAUUUAUUGGGUUUAAAGGGUGCGUAGGCGGACUUGUAAGUCAGUGGUGAAAGUUUGCAGCUUAACUGUAAAAUUGCCGUUGAAACUGCGGGUCUUGAGUGCAAAUGAGGUAGGCGGAAUGUGUUGUGUAGCGGUGAAAUGCAUAGAUAUAACACAGAACUCCGAUUGCGAAGGCAGCUUACUGGGAUGCAACUGACGCUGAUGCACGAAAGCGUGGGUAUCAAA
rnacentral:rRNA from 1 species